AUCCAGAUGAUGAGUCCCAAAUAGGACGAAACACGCAUCCUGGAU
rnacentral:hammerhead_ribozyme from 1 species